UACGUAGGCAGCGAGCGUUGUUCGGAGUUACUGGGCGUAAAGGGUGUGUAGGCGGUUGUUUAAGUUUGGUGUGAAAUCUCCCGGCUCAACUGGGAGGGUGCGCCGAAUACUGAAUGACUUGGAGUGCGGGAGAGGUGAGUGGAAUUCCUGGUGUAGCGGUGAAAUGCGUAGAUAUCAGGAGGAACACCGGUGGUGUAGACGGCUCACUGGACCGUAACUGACGCUGAGACACGAAAGCGUGGGUAGCAAACAGG
rnacentral:rRNA from 1 species